AACGUGCACAAUCUGAUUGGGAUGAUGAAGUGGAAAAUGCUACGGACAUGUCUUUGUGGAGUUAUUCAUUUUGAUUCCACCAGUGCAAGCUUUUAUUAUAAGCACUGGAUUGGAUGUGCUCUGUCUGUAAAUAAUGCAGAAGAUUUUAAAUCUACCAGGUCAUCUGAAUGUAAUAUUAGUAGCAGAAGUUUGGGUUUGCUAUUCAAUGUAUUUCCCAUUAGCACCGGAGAGGUCGGGGAAAACAAGUUUUGUUAUAAAAUAUAAUAUGUUUGCAAGUUUGUUUUCAACAACAUUAACUCAAAACAAAAACAAAAAUUGAAACUAAUAAUUAGAAGACAGGAACUGAAAAUUUAUCUGGUAAAAGUUGAUUCUUGUAAUAAAGAGACUGGAAUUAAUUCACAUCCAACAACUAAAUAAGCUUUUGAUAGAAGGCAUUACACAGGAAGAGUGCAACAUUAAUAUAUAGCUUGACACAGCUACAAUAUAUCUUCAAUAUAUUUAGCAUUGUAGAUUUGUAUUAAGUAUAUGGAGAGAGGAAACUAUAACUGCCUGUAUAAUUACAUAUAAAAAAAUGGGAGAUGAAGAUCAUGAGUUGUGUAUCUACUCGCGAAAACAUGAUGAAAUAUCUUCCUGUUUGAAAGCUGCAUGUGCAACUGAGAGUAGGAACAAGAACAGGAUUCUGUAUUAGGCAUGAGUGUAUAAUGGUGCAACGUACACAUUAGCUGUGGAUGCUGGGUUGCGAUAUUACCGUACACAUUAGCUGUGAAUGCUGGGUUGCAAUAGUACCGUAUGUUAAUUACAUUGCGGUUACAUGAGCAUAUUAAUCAAGAUUUUCUUGAUUCACUCAUGAAUAGGUCCGGACACAUAAAUUUCUCUGGCUGGUGGCCAGAAGCACUUGUUAUUUUCUUCAGACCAUCAAGUUGCUUACACUAAUGAAAACCCAGACAUGAGACACCAUUGGUGCAGCUACCCUGAGCCAGUACUACAUUAAUAAUUGUGUUUUAUAAAAUUGAUGACGACGAUGAUGAUGGCAUGGCAGCCCAGGCACACAGAUAACUCUGAGUCAUCGCCACAACUUAUGUAUACUAAUCAGUAAUCAGUGAUCCCUAACUAUAUAUUAAUGUGGUAACAAAUUCAGAAAAAAAAAUAACAAAAGGGAGUAAGCAAAUUUUCUUUUUCUUUAUUAGGAAGGGUUAAUUACAAGAAAUUUGACCUUGGGUUAUUAAAGACGAUGAGUAUCCACUGGGCUUGCAUAUUCAAAAAACACAUGUAUGUAAUGCUCAGAAAUUGCCUAUUAGUGACUAUUUAACUAUUAAUUUACUGAUGCUGAAGGUUCCCCUUAACCUCCUUCCGACUCACAGGAUCUCCUUACCGGCUCUAAUCCUUGUCAUAACUCAAUUGUGUCCAGCAAGACAAGAAUACUCAUGCACUACUAACUAAUAUCUAAACAAGAGAUUAUAGAUGGAGGUAGGGCAUACAGAAAUUCUAAAGUGUGUAACGUGAUUCACUAAUAGACUGAAACUUUUUCCCCCUCAGGUUCUGAUAAAAUACUUCCCUUCUUAGAUUUUCUAGUAUGUUAUGCUUCAUUUCUAAUACUGUCACCGGCUAAUGUUCUCCCGAGACUUCUUGAUGAUUUUUAACUUUAUAAGAUUCUCCUAAAUCCUCACUUCACCAAACCUUUACCAAGACCUCUACUUCGUGAUGAUCAAUUCUGUAAGUUAGAAAGUGGUUUAAUUAGUAUAGGUAAACCGGUAUUCUAUUAUGGGGUAUCACACAGUUAUUUGAGUAAGAAUAUAACAUCUAUUAAUGGAAAGCACUCACAUUCCUCAGAUCCGUCUUUUUCUUGAGCUUCUCCGAUUUGGCUUGAACAUUUAUUAUUUUCCUUAAGCUUCGUCUGCCCAGGAAGGUUCUCAUUUAUUUUACUAUAGACACGGAACAUUACAACGUAUAUUCCUCUGGAGGAUCGUCUUUCCCACACAGCAUCUGGUGUGUAUAUAUAUAUACAGUACAUGAAUCAUGGAUGAAAAGAACUGCAUCACAAAAAAGAAGGAAAUAGAACGGUAUUGAUGGAAUUGUUCUUCUUUAAUGGAGGCCAUUUCUGAGACCCUUAAGCUCAAAUAUAAAAAGAAAUAAAAAGGUUAAGCUCUAUUUAUUCAUACAAGGAACAGGAUGUGCAAAGAAUUAUCACCUUCUUGGAGCAUAUUAUAUGCCACAACAAUAUUGUUAGAUAAGUCUACCAGAUCUGAAAAAGUCAUUUGUAUUGUGAGAAAAUGAAAUGAUAAUAGCAGAACUCAUUAACAGUUUGGCAGUGGGGGAUAGGGUGAUCAUCCUCCCCCACAGUGUGUGUGCCAAGUGAUGGGUGUUUUGGUCAUAAUGACAUGAAAGAAGCUACCGACCUGUCUUGAUGGAGCUAUUCAUUUUAGUAUGCGCCUCUCUACUGCUAAGCUGCUAAUAUUAGGGUCUAAACUAAGUGCUGGUAAAAUUGUAGGAUACAUGUAACUUAGGUUAUUAUAUAUGUACCUGUAUCUGUAUAACAUAUGUAUAUCUGUAACUGCAGAUUGGAUUCGCCAUCUGUUUGAUUUUAAAAAAUU
rnacentral:lncRNA from 1 species